AUGGCCAGCCGGUUCUCCAACGUCGACCCGGUGACGGCGGCCGACAUGCGGCGCCAAGGCCUGGACCCGCACGAGCUGGACCGGAGGACGGAGCAGCUCAUGUCGCUCAUCCACGGCAACCUCCCGGACCCGCCCGUCUCCACCACCGCCCGCCUCACCGCCUUCCGCGCGCGCCCCUCCGACGGCGUGGACCGCAUCAGCCGCCUCUCCGACGCGCUCCUCCGCGACAUCGUCUCCCGCCUCCCCAUCAAGGACGCCGCCCGCACCGCCGCGCUCGCCGCGCGCUGGCGCGGGGUCUGGCGCUCGACGCCGCUGGUCCUCGUCGACACCCACCUGGUCUCGUCAGCGCGCGCCAGCACGCCGGACGUCAUCGCGGCCGUCUCCCGCGUCCUCGCCGCGCACCAUGGUCCCUUCCGCUCCGUCCACCUCACCUGCAGCUGCAUGGGCGCGUACCAGGCCCAGCUCAAGCGCUGGCUCCGUCUCCUCGCCGCCAGGGGCGUCCAGGAGCUCGUCCUCGUCAACCGCCCGUGGCUGCGCGAGGUGCCCCUCCCCAAGACGCUCUUCACCAUCUCCACCCUCACCCGCCUCUACAUCGGCGUCUGGAAGUUCCCGGACGCGGCCGGCCUCCAAGGCGCCUCCUUCCCCCACCUCCGGGAGCUCGGCAUCUGCAGCGUCGCCAUGAAGGACGGGGACAUCGACGCCGUCGUCUCAAGGAGCCCCGCCCUGGAGAUCCUCAACAUCCAAGGGAGCAUGAAGGGGGUGCAUCUCCGCCUCGUCAGCCACAGCCUCCGUUGCGUGCAGAUCUGCUCUUUCGUCAUAGAGAGCGUCAACGUGGUGAACGCCCCGCGUCUCGAGCGUCUCAUCCUGUCAGAGUGUCUCAAUCCUGCCGGCGGAUCGUGCAUCAGAGUAAAGAUUGGCAACGUCCCCAAGCUGAAAGUAUUCGGGUUCCUGGAGCCAGGAAAAUACGUGCUAGAGAUCCAAGACACUGUCAUCAUGGCUGGGAUUAAGACAAGUGCAAGCAUGAUGGUCACAAGCGUGAAUGUCCUUAGUAUGAAGGUGUGCUUCGGAGUCUACGACGAUGUCAAGAUGGUGCCCGCCUUCCUCAAAUGCUUCCCCAAUGUCGAGGCGCUGCAUAUUACGUCUGAAAAAUGCGAUCAACUCGCUGGCAAGUUCGACCUCAAGUUCUGGGAAGAGGUUGGUCUCAUCGUAAGUGUGCUCUUGCGGCUCAAGGUGAUCACGUUUCGUGAAUAUCGUGCCAGGCAAGAUGAGCUUGCCUUCCUCCAGUACAUCUUGCAGCAUGCAAUGGUGCUCAAGUAUGCAGUGGUUCAGAUGGUCAAUCCAAAAUUCACUUCACUGUCAGUAGAUGAGAUGGCCUACACCAUAGACAAUAUGCAAAAAAAAAAAAAAAAGGGCAACCUGGUGCAUGUAGCUCCCGCUUGCGCAGGGUCCAGGGAAGGGUCCGACCACUUUGGGUCUAUAGUACGCAGCCUUUCCCUACAUUUCUGUAAGAGGCUGUUUCCAGGACUUGAACCCAUGACCUCAUGGUCACAAGGCAGCAGCUUUACCAUAGACAAUAUGCAGCCUCCUAAAAAUAAAAAGUGGGCCAGCACAGUUGGUUUAUUAACCAUGGGGACUCAUGGUCCUGAAGGAGGUGAAACUUGGACUUUUCGGAAAGGAGCAGACCUCUCCGACGACGACCCUAUUGCACCAGUUAAAUUCAUCAUAAGGGGUUAG
rnacentral:rRNA from 1 species